rfam:Gossypium arboreum cultivar AKA8401 contig_241_3, whole genome shotgun sequence.
UGUUAAAAAUUUCAUCCAAUUAUACUGUUAAAAAUUAGGAUGGCGAAGGGAAUAACCAUAUAGUGAAACAUUGUGUCACAUGUAACUUAUGCAAACAUAUAGGGACUGAUUUUUAAUAAUAGAAAUUGAUGAUUUUUUUAAUA